rnacentral:ribozyme from 1 species
CGAAAUGUUUGAUAAUAGUAAAUAAGUAAAAAUAUAAAUAAUGAAAAAUAAGUAAAAACAACGUAGCCCCCCCCUAUUAUGGCAAGCGUGUUUUUGCACUUGCUGCUGUUGUUUUUGCCUCCCUUGCUUUGUGCU